rnacentral:rRNA from 1 species
GAGUUUGAUCCUGGCUCAGAACGAACGCUGGCGGCAUGCCUAACACAUGCAAGUCGAACGAGACCUUCGGGUCUAGUGGCGCACGGGUGCGUAACGCGUGGGAAUCUGCCCUUGGGUUCGGAAUAACAGUUAGAAAUGACUGCUAAUACCGGAUAAUGUCUUCGGACCAAAGAUUUAUCGCCCAGGGAUGAGCCCGCGUAGGAUUAGCUAGUUGGUGAGGUAAAGGCUCACCAAGGCGACGAUCCUUAGCUGGUCUGAGAGGAUGAUCAGCCACACUGGGACUGAGACACGGCCCAGACUCCUACGGGAGGCAGCAGUGGGGAAUAUUGGACAAUGGGCGAAAGCCUGAUCCAGCAAUGCCGCGUGAGUGAUGAAGGCCUUAGGGUUGUAAAGCUCUUUUACCCGGGAUGAUAAUGACAGUACCGGGAGAAUAAGCCCCGGCUAACUCCGUG